AUCACUUCUCAGCCUUUUGGCUAAGAUCAAGUGUAGUAUCUAACCCACAUGUCUUUCUUUUCCAUUUUACACCUGUAUAUUCAACUAUUUUCUGGAUAUCUCUACAAAGAAACUCAAACUCAACAUUUUUGGGCUGGGGAUUAGCUCAG
ensembl:snRNA U2 U2 spliceosomal RNA